rnacentral:rRNA from 1 species
CCUACGGGUGGCAGCAGUGAGGAAUAUUGGUCAAUGGACGAGAGUCUGAACCAGCCAAGUCGCGUGAGGGAUGACUGCCCUAUGGGUUGUAAACUUCUUUUAUCGGGGAAUAAAAUGCUCCACGCGUGGCAUUCUGUAAGUACCCUAAGAAUAAGGAUCGGCUAACUCCGUGCCAGCAGCCGCGGUAAUACGGAGGAUGCGAGCGUUAUCCGGAUUUAUUGGGUUUAAAGGGGGCGCAGGGGGAUGAUAAAGUCAGUGGUAAAAUUGUGAGGCUCAACCUCAAAGUGCCGUUGAAACUGGGAUUCUUGAGUACAGGAGAGGUGUGCGGAAUGCGUGGUGUAGCGGUGAAAUGCUUAGAUAUCACGAAGAACUCCGAUUGCGAAGGCAGUUCACUGGACCUCAACUGACGCUGAGGCUCGAAAGUGUGGGUAUCGAACAGGAUUAGAUACCCCAGUAGUC